rnacentral:rRNA from 1 species
GAGACAGCAGUCGCCGCGGGAAUACGAAGGUCCCGAGCGUUGUUCGGAAUCACUGGGCGUAAAGGGAGCGUAGGCGGCGUGGUAAGUCAGAUGUGAAAUCCCGGGGCUCAACCCCGGAACUGCAUCCGAUACUGCCGUGCUAGAGGAUUGGAGAGGUAGCUGGAAUUCUUGGUGUAGCAGUGAAAUGCGUGGAGAUCAAGAGGAACACUCGUGGCGAAAGCGAGCUACUGGACAAUAUCUGACGCUGAGGCUCGAAGGCCAGGGUAGCGAAAGGGAUUAGAUACCCGCGUAGUCCCUGUCUCUUAUAC